GUGAAAAACUCAAGCAAAUUAUAGCAUGCAAUGCAAUCAAAUUAAAUUAGUAAAACAAGCUCACGAUUUUCUUUGAGCUCCAAUAAGUCACAUCAAAAUUUGGCCUCGAGCAUGUAUAAUUGGCAUGCACCUUUAACAUGCGAAAUAACGAAUAUGUGUGGUUGAUUAAUUAUCUAUUCAUUGCAAGAUUGUAAAAUUUGCCUUCAAUUGCGAUUGAUGUGCUUGGUAUUGGACUGAUGAUAGCUAGGCUUAUAU
rnacentral:misc_RNA from 1 species